GGCAGAGUGGCGUAGUGGUUAGUGACCCUGACUGCUGUGCCGAAGGUCCUGGGUUCGAUUCCCAGCUGGCG
rnacentral:tRNA from 1 species